AGUGGUUUAUUUUGUGUUACACUCCCAUCUAUUGUGUUGUUGUGGAAACAACAGGACUGGUUUGGGUGAAACAU